CAGUAGCCACGGUAAUACGAAGGGUGCAAGCGUUACUUGGAAUUACUGGGCGUAAAGCGUGCGUAGGUGGUGGUUUAAGUCCGUUGUGAAAGCCCUGGGCUCAACCUGGGAAUUGCAGUGGAUACUGGGUCACUAGAGUGUGGUAGAGGAUAGUGGAAUUUCCGGUGUAGCAGUGAAAUGCGUAGAGAUCGGAAGGAACAUCUGUGGCGAAGGCGACUAUCUGGGCCAACACUGACACUGAGGCACGAAAGCGUGGGGAGCAAACAGGAUUAGAUACCCCCGUAGUCCCUGUCUCUUAUAC
rnacentral:rRNA from 1 species